rnacentral:rRNA from 1 species
UACGUGAAACCGUUCAGGGGUAAACCUAAGAAACCCAAAAGAUCGAACGGGGAGAUUCAUCGUCAGCGGCGCUGGCUUCGCGUCGGUGGGCGAUGUCCCGCGGAGUCCUCGCGGCUCGCGCGCGGGCACGCUACCGUGCGUCGAUGUCCGGCGCUCGUCGUCGUGCACUUCUCCCCCAAGUAGAACGUCGCGACCCGCUGGGUGUCGGUCUACGGCCCGGGUGCGGUGACUGUCGCGUCGCCGGUAAAACGGCACGCGACAAACCCCCSGUCGCCCGGCCGGCUGCUCGGCGGUACGCGCAUGGUAUCAGGCCGCACUAUUUUACGGUGCGUCGAGGCCGUCGCAAGCGCGCGCCACGGUACUCGGAGGUUACGGACUUUGCGCCGUCCCCGGUCCUGGUCCGCUGUUGGUUAAAGUACGGUUCACCUUCGACAGGCCUGCGAACGUCUCUCCCCGGAGAGACCGAUACCGGUCGGCGACGCUACUGCUUUGGGUACUCUUAGGACCCGUCUUGAAACACGGACCAAGGAGUCUAACAUGUACGCGAGUCAUUGGGACUUGUCGCGAGACCUAAAGGCGUAAUGAAAGUGAAGGUCGGCCCUGGCCGUCGACCGAGGGAGGAUGGGCCGCGUCGCGAUGCGGCCUCGCACUCCCGGGGCGUCUCGUUCUCAUCGCGAGAAGAGGCGCACCCAGAGCGUACACGUUGGGACCCGAAAGAUGGUGAACUAUGCCUGGUCAGGACGAAGUCAGGGGAAACCCUGAUGGAGGUCCGUAGCGAUUCUGACGUGCAAAUCGAUCGUCGGAACUGGGUAUAGGGGCGAAAGACUAAUCGAACCAUC